CCCAGGUCCGAGUGCCGCCGCCCGUAGGCCGCCACCACCAGCGCCCGCAGAGCUCCCAACCCCGAGCUCCUCCUCCCGUGCGCCUUCUCCCCAGCCUUCCUCACGCGUCGUCGGGCGACCGGCGCCGCCACCAGCGACCAUCCAGGUUACGCCACCGUCCCCUGCCUUCUCUCUUUCCUCUCUCUCUCUAAUCUCCUCAUCUCUCCUUCUCCCCAGGAGCUCAGCGCCAGCGCCAUGGAUGCCCAGUCCUCGAGCUCACCUUGGAGGUUCGAACGCCGCCACGGGACCUCCACCGGCCAGAUCCGGCGCCUCCCUCCCCGGAUCCGCGCGCCCUCCACCUCCUCUACCCGAUCUGGCGCCCCACCCACCUCCCCACCACGCCCCGCGCGCCGCUGGCCGCCUCCUGCCCCGUCCCGCCUCAGUGCGCGCCGCCGGGCGCCUUAUGCCUCCCAAUCCCAUCUCCUCCUCACCCGCGGCUUCUUCGCCGUUCACGGCUCCCGAAGCUCGAGCGGGCCGAUCUACGCGUCGGUGACCUCGUGGGAGGCAGAGGAUGGGAUGGUGUGCUGUGCUCGAGAAGAGUGGGCUCGAGUAAGGGGAUUGGAGGGUGGCGUCGGCGGGCUCGCGGACGGGGAUGGAGAGGGCGGUUGCUUGCAAGAUCAAGGCUGGGCAGGCCGGAAUUGAUCUAAAAAAACAGGAUCGUGGCAGAUUGUUAUCGCUAGCAAGGACUCACUGAUCUCUGAUGUGGCUCUCAAUGGUGAUGCGAUGCAAAAUGGACAAAUCCAUCAUCGUUAGUCUGCUGCUGUUGGCUUCUUCUGAGCUACUAAUAUCAGAUUAGCGCUGAUUUGGGGAGUAAAGCUCUUCGAGCAAGUGACAAAAAUCAAGUCUUCUGAGCAUCUCAAAGAUGGCGACCUGAAGUCGUUUGACUGGCAGCUUAAAAGCAAUUAAAGUGCACAGAGAAAUCAAACUUUUAAAGCCACUCUUGCCAUUUGUGGACUGUUCCUGCUUGUUGGUGACUGCUUUUGCGAGUAUGUUCACUCUCAUCUACUCCCUUCGUUCCAAAAUAGAUGAGUCUACUUUGUAUUAACUUUAGUACAAAGUUACAAAGUUGAGUCAUCUAUUUUGGAACGGAGGGAGUAGCAAUGAAAUAUUUUGUCUCUGUUGCGCAGCCGCUGAAAGGGCAAACUCCAGAUCCUAGAUAUCUAUGGGUUUUGGGUGCCCUCUGGGGUUACCUGAAUGUUCCUAUUUCUGUUUCUUCUUCCCUUCUUAGUUUUCUUUAUGAUGUAGAUGAACAAUUGGUUUGUGUUAAUAGAAUUCAGAGAGGAGGCUCUCUUUUAGAAAAUCUAAUGAGGGGAGACUGAAUGACCGAGUGUAGAUGACACUGACCAAGUUUAGUAGUAUGUGAUCCUACAUGUCGCUCCAUUAAUUCUUCUAGAUAAUUCCUGUAUGCUUAACUGUUUCCUCAUUCAGUCCAAUAACGAUGACAGAUCCGAGGUGGUAUCCUUUGUAGCUGAAGGAGAAGAUGUAUGCAAGGGUGUAUUCCAUAUACUGUUAUAUCUUUGUGUCA